GUCCCUGUAGCGCAAUGGAUAGCGCGUUGGACUUUUAUUCCAAAGGUCGUGGGUUCGAGUCCCACAUGGGAUG
rnacentral:tRNA from 1 species